rnacentral:rRNA from 1 species
AUUGAACGCUGGCGGCAGGCUUAACACAUGCAAGUCGAGCGGGGGGAGGUAGCUUGCUACCGGACCUAGCGGCGGACGGGUGAGUAAUGCUUAGGAAUCUGCCUAUUAGUGGGGGACAACAUCUCGAAAGGGAUGCUAAUACCGCAUACGUCCUACGGGAGAAAGCAGGGGAUCUUCGGACCUUGCGCUAAUAGAUGAGCCUAAGUCGGAUUAGCUAGUUGGUGGGGUAAAGGCCUACCAAGGCGACGAUCUGUAGCGGGUCUGAGAGGAUGAGCCGCCACACUGGGACUGAGACACGGACCAGACUCCUACGGGAGGCAGCAGUGGGGAAUAUUGGACAAUGGGGGGAACCCUGAUCCAGCCAUGCCGCGUGUGUGAAGAAGGCCUUAUGGUUGUAAAGCACUUUAAGCGAGGAGGAGGCUACUCUAGUUAAUACCUAGGGAUAGUGGACGUUACUCGCAGAAUAAGCACCGGCUAACUCUGUGCCAGCCGCCGCAGUAA